rnacentral:rRNA from 1 species
GUCCUUUAGUUAAAAAUAAUUUAAGGUCUAACCUGCCCAUUGAUUAAAUUAAAAGGCCGCAGUAAUUUGACUGUGCAAAGGUAGCAUAAUCAUUAGUUUUUUAAUUAAAAGCUUGUAUGAAUGGUUGGACGAGAUAAAAUCUGUCUCUUUAUAAAAAAUAGAAUUUAAUUUUUAAGUUAAAAAGCUUAAAUUUUAAUAAAAGACGAGAAGACCCUAUAGAUCUUUAUAUAAUUUUUUUUAGUAUUAAUAAAGAAAUUUUUAUUUAUUAAUUAAAUUUGUAUUUUAUUGGGGUAAUAAAAAGAUUAAAAAAAUUCUUAAAUAUUUAACAAAAAUUAUUGGUUAAAUGAUCCAUUAUUAAUGAUUAUAAGAUUAAGUUACCUUAGGGAUAACAGCGUAAUUUUUUUAGAGAGUUCUUAUCAAUAAAAAAGUUUGCGACCUCGAUGUUGGAUUAAAAGUAAUUUCGGGUGUAGAAGUUCGGAGUUUUGGUCUGUUCGACCAUUAAAUUUUU